rnacentral:lncRNA from 1 species
UUGCCCAGGCUGGUCUGGAACUCCUGAGCUGGACCGAUCCUCCUGCCUUGGCCUCCCAAAGUGCUGAGAUUGCAGGAGUAAUUGGGCAGUAUCUUUUAACUGCAGUGGAGAAGUGUCAACACUACUUUGGCUGUGGGACCAGGAUCCUGCUGCCUGGAGGCAGAUUGAUAUUUUUAUUUCACCUUUAAAGGAUGUACAGUAAGGGUGAGAACAUCUCGAUGAAAUCUCUGCAGUAAAUAACUCUUGGAUCCCUUUCCCAUACAAGUGAAAGGACAAAAGGAUGAUAUGCUGAGAUGGCCUCUUCACCUGCACCAAUGCCAGGGCCAGGGUGGGUCUCAGCUACCCACCCCCAGGAUUUAUGAGGAUGGUGAAGAGUGGAGAGGGGUUCCCAGCAAAGGAUUUAGCAUGAGUAAAAUCAAGGAGGGAUAGAAGAACCAUCCUGAGCUAGAGGAGGUUUGAGAAGGAGAAUACUGAGAGAUCAGCAAACUGAGGCUCAGAAAGUGGAAAUAGGAAGCACAGCAAAUGCUAAGAGGAUCAGAACCUUAUGGAUCCCAAUCCAGUGCUCUUUCCUCUACACCACACCACUGGCUACCCUUUCAGACAGAGCACAGAGCAGACAUUUAACCAACUUAGUCACAAUAUGUCAAGGGAGGAGAAAGAAGCCCACAUUGUGUGCCCUUUCUAGGCAUUUGCAUUAUUCUAAAUGUCUUGCACCUUUAAUAUGUUUCCAUUUGCAGACACUAGAAAAGUCCUGGGCACCCUGUGGGGUGAUGAGGGAAGAUGACGUGCAUGUGUGUGUGUGUGUGUGUGUGUGUGAUGGAGACAUGGCUUGGGUGGGUGCAGAGUUCCAACUCAGUUUUCCCUAUGGGAAGCCUGGGUGCCUAUCUCCUUGGCUUUUACCUUGACCAGGGAGGGUAAGCAGUUUCUGUUCAGGGCAGACUCACUGGAUCUCACUUUGGGAUUUGGGGACUUGGACUGGAGUUCUUUAUUUGAACUGUUACUCUUUUCUUCUUUUGUGGUCAAAAUCCUCCCCAUAAUGAUGGCUUUGGGGAGAGUUUUUGCUUUUCCUUCGACUAACUCUCUGUUGUCUCAGACUUUGCAGUGUGCACAUCAAGUUUCUCGGGGCCAAUCCUGGCUUUGUUUCUGGGACCUCUGCUGUUUAAAAAGAAAAAGAACAAAGUUGUUCUUGUCCUUCCAGAGAGCGAGUACAAUUUGCCAGGACCUCGGAAAGAUAGUGCUAUGUAGGAAUAGACUAUGAAGACUGCUAAAUUGCCCUGAUAGUGUAAGAAAAAUAUCAGAGUCAGGCCCCAGAGGUUGACCCUGCCAUCAACUCUCUGUGUGACCCUUUCUCUGAGCCUCAGUUUCUUCCCUGGGAAUAUGGGGAGUUGAGCAUGUUUUCUUUAAAGUGUUUUAAUUUUAGCCAUCUAAAAUCCCAUAUUUCUUUAUUAUGCGAUUUCUCCCUUGGUCCGAUGUAUUUAUUGAAAACUCCUUUUGUACAAAACGCUCUGCAACCCCCUCUUCCUUACCUCCUCAUAUGGAAUGUUCUAAAGCAUAGUCGCAAAGUAAUGUAUCUCAUUACACAUCUCAUUACAUAAGCAAUGAGAGGGAAUUUUAGCAUUAGCAUCAUGGCUAAGGGCAUGGGCUCUGGGGCGGACCUCUCUGAUUAGAAUCCUGGCUUCACCACAUAUUAGCUGUAUGACCUUGAGCUAGUUACAUAAUCUGCCUGGAUCUAAGUUUCCUCAACUGUGAACCUGGGGAUACUAAUAGUACUUAUCUUACUGGGUGGAGAGUAAAUGAGGUUAUCUGGUAAAUUGCUUAGCACCAGUAUCGGCACAUAAGAAAGCACUCAGUAAAUGUUAGCAAUGAUUGCAAUCAGAAUUUCUGUUUUGUUAUAUAUCUUAUCACUCUCCUGACUGAAAUUCCUCAUCCCCAUCCCCUCUGUUGCCCAUGCCUAUGGUACAAGCCACUUAGUGUGGCUCACAAUGUUCCCUCUGACAUGGACCCUGCCCACAUCUUGAGUUUCCAAUCCAUUCUUUUGCCAUAAAAACAAACAAACAAAAAAAGCCAAAAAACUGUGAAAACUCUCACUCCAACAGUACCCAACAGCUAACAAUUCUCUUAAAUUAUGACACGGAUUCCUCCUUAAAUGUCCUUGUAUAGGUGAGUACCUUUGCCCAGGAAUGUCUGCCCUCAUCUUAGCUUCAAAGCCUGGUCCAGAUGCGCCGUCAUCUGUGAUGACUUCUGUAACCCUGCAGGUUGUUCCAAGGACAACCACUUUCCUUGGAAAAAUGAAGCACCCAGAGCACACUAUCAUUGGAUGGAUCCCAUGGUGCUGACAAUAUUUGUUUACUAAUCAAACUUCUUUGCUGUGAGCUACCUGUGGUUGCUUAUUGCUCAUUUUCAUUUUUAUUCUUGGUGUCUAACACAGCUCCUGAGUUAACUCUGCUCCCAUCAAGCCAUCUCUGUCACACACAGAGCAUAGGGUUGGUUCUCAGUGAAAUUUGCUGAGUUCUACAUGAAACAAGAAAAAUAGAUGUUGGGCAUAUCAAGAGCAUAGAAUAAAUCAAGUGGUUUUGGGGUGGGGAUGCAGGAAUAAUCCAAGAAGAUUCACCAAAGAGGUAAAUCUAGAAGUGUGUUUGGAAGCUAGUUCAGGGUCUCCUGCAUGGGAGCAGGGGCCUUUGUGGGGCUCAUACCAGGUAUCUCAGUCCCUACUUGGAAACAAGGAACAAGUAUAUGUUCACCUAACCAAAAAACCCAAUCUAGGUCCCACCACUAUCCCUUUGCUCAUGUCUGGAACCGGGGAAACCCUAGGGCUCCUUAUCUCUAACCCCCUCAUACUCUCUCACAAGCACCAAGCCAUAGAUUUAACCUCCAAAAUAUCCCUCCAAUCCACCCACUUUGCUCAAUUUUCACUGCCACCAUCCCAGUCCAAGCUACAAUUACCCUUUGCCUAGAUUCUUUACCUGUAAUAACUUUCUAACUGAUGUGUUGGUAUUCACUCUAGAGCCCUGUGUCAGUUAGAAUUAGGUUAAACUAUGAGUAACAGAGACCCAAAAUUACAUGAAAAGUCUGCAGGUGAGAAGUUCAGGGCUGGCAUGGUGGAUUUGCUCCAUGGUGUUGUCAGGCACUGCAACCCCUUUUUAUUUUAAUGCCCUGACUUUUUUAUCUUGUCACCUCAUGGACCAAGAUGGCUGCUCCAGCUCUAGCUAUUAUAUCCCCAGUCCACACAGCAGGAAGGAGGACACUCCCAUUAAGGAUACUUCUUGGAUAGCACCCACUACUUUCAUUCACAUCCCACUGGCCCAAACUGAACAUUGUGGCCACUCCUAGAUGUAAGAGAGACUUGGGCUGGAGUCCUGUGCCCAUUGAAAGAUGAGAGGCACUGAUGAAGACAGGGAGUGUUGAUACUGGGUGACAAUUAGUGGUUUGUAUAAUAAAGCUCUACAAAAAGUUCAUUGUCAUUUCACUCUCCAGAUUAAAACACUUCAAUGGCUCUCAAAUUCUUUCAGAGUGAAAUUCAAACUCUUAAUAUGGCCUACUAGAUUCUUUAUGAUCCUCUUUUGCCUCAAGUCCCUAACCCCCAGCCCCUAUGCUGUAACCAUCUUCUCUCUCACUUUUUUUUUUUUUUUUUGCAUGUGCUAUUGCUGCUGUCAGAAACAUUAUUUGCAG